UGCUAUAAAAUCAAUGCAAUAUUAGCAUAAACAUAAUUUCAAGUGAAAAAAAAAAGCAAAUCUGAUC